CCUAAUACAUGCAAGUCGAGCGGACAGAAGGGAGCUUGCUCCCGGAUGUUAGCGGCGGACGGGUGAGUAACACGUGGGUAACCUGCCUGUAAGACUGGGAUAACUCCGGGAAACCGGAGCUAAUACCGGAUAGUUCNUUGAACCGCAUGGUUCAAGGAUGAAAGACGGUUUCGGCUGUCACUUACAGAUGGACCCGCGGCGCAUUAGCUAGUUGGUGAGGUAACGGCUCACCAAGGCGACGAUGCGUAGCCGACCUGAGAGGGUGAUCGGCCACACUGGGACUGAGACACGGCCCAGACUCCUACGGGAGGCAGCAGUAGGGAAUCUUCCGCAAUGGACGAAAGUCUGACGGAGCAACGCCGCGUGAGUGAUGAAGGUUUUCGGAUCGUAAAGCUCUGUUGUUAGGGAAGAACAAGUGCAAGAGUAACUGCUUGCACCUUGACGGUACCUAACCAGAAAGCCACGGCUAACUACGUGCCAGCAGCCGCGGUAAUACGUAGGUGGCAAGCGUUGUCCGGAAUUAUUGGGCGUAAAGGGCUCGCAGGCGGUUUCUUAAGUCUGAUGUGAAAGCCCCCGGCUCAACCGGGGAGGGUCAUUGGAAACUGGGAAACUUGAGUGCAGAAGAGGAGAGUGGAAUUCCACGUGUAGCGGUGAAAUGCGUAGAGAUGUGGAGGAACACCAGUGGCGAAGGCGACUCUCUGGUCUGUAACUGACGCUGAGGAGCGAAAGCGUGGGGAGCGAACAGGAUUAGAUACCCUGGUAGUCC
rnacentral:rRNA from 1 species